rnacentral:rRNA from 1 species
UACAGAGGUCCCGAGCGUUGUUCGGAUUCACUGGGCGUACAGGGUGCGUAGGUGGUGAGGUAAGUCGGAUGUGAAAUCUCCGGGCUCAACCCGGAAAUGGCAUUGGAAACUACCUUGCUGGAGGAUUUGAGGGGGGAUUGGAAUACUUGGUGUAGCAGUGAAAUGCGUAGAUAUCAAGUGGAACACCAGUGGCGAAGGCGAAUCCCUGGAAAAUACCUGACACUGAGGCACGAAAGCUAGGGGAGCAAACAGG